GCGCAGCAGUCGCGAAUCUUUGGCAAUGGGGGAAACCCUGACCGAGCGACGCCGCGUGUGGGAUGAAGGCCCUUGGGUUGUAAACCACUGUCAGAGGGGAUGAAAUGCCGGAAAGUUAUCUCUCCGGUUUGACAUAGCCUCAGAGGAAGCACGGGCUAAGUUCGUGCCAGCAGCCGCGGUAAGACGAACUGUGCAAACGUUAUUCGGAAUCACUGGGCUUGAAGAGUGCGUAGGCGGUUUCGUAAGUAGGGUGUGAAAGCCCCCGGCUCAACCGGGGAAUUGCGUCCUAAACUGCGAGGCUGGAGUGAGGUAGGGUGUGUGGAACUUCCAGUGGAGCGGUGAAAUGUGUUGAUAUUGGAAGGAACGCCGGUGGCGAAAGCGACACACUGGACCUUGUCUGACGCUGAGGCACGAAAGCCAGGGGAGCAAACGGGAUUAGAUACCCCUGUAGU
rnacentral:rRNA from 1 species